rnacentral:rRNA from 1 species
GCAUAUCAAUAAGCGGAGGAAAAGAAACCAACAGGGAUUNCCUCAGNNNCGGNGAGUGAAGCGGCAAGAGCUCAAAUUUGAAAGCUGGCUCCUUCGGGGUCCGCAUUGUAAUUUGCAGAGGAUGCUUCGGGAGUGGCCCCCAUCUAAGUGCCCUGGAACGGGCCGUCAUAGAGGGUGAGAAUCCCGUCUGGGAUGGGGUGUCCACGCCCGUGUGAAGCUCCUUCGACGAGUCGAGUUGUUUGGGAAUGCAGCUCUAAAUGGGUGGUAAAUUUCAUCUAAAGCUAAAUACUGGCCGGAGACCGAUAGCGCACAAGUAGAGUGAUCGAAAGAUGAAAAGCACUUUGAAAAGAGAGUUAAACAGCACGUGAAAUUGUUGAAAGGGAAGCGCUUGCGACCAGACUCGCCCACGGGGUUCAGCCGGCAUUCGUGCCGGUGUACUUCCCCGCGGGCGGGCCAGCGUCGGUUUGGGCGGCCGGUCAAAGGCCCUCGGAAUGUAACGCCCCCCGGGGCGUCUUAUAGCCGAGGGUGCCAUGCGGCCAGCCCGGACCGAGGAACGCGCUUCGGCUCGGACGCUGGCAUAAUGGUCGUAAGCGACCCGUCUUGAAACACGGACC